rnacentral:lncRNA from 1 species
CAAAUACUUUUCUUAUUUUUCAGGGGCAAGUUCUACUCAUCCCUUACCUAUGGACUGGUUGGGAAAAGAGUGAAAAGGAGUUUGAACUUGUACAAUCAAGCUGCUUUUGGAUCACGGAGUAGGACUUCUCCUCUGCGUGUUCUCAGUGCAACAUUGGAUUUACCUGAACAGCCUGGAUUUGGUCUGUGCUUUGCAUUUCUUCUGGGACAGAUCUGUGACUGCAAGUUGGACUUCCAGUCUUUGACAAACAUGGACAUACCAGCAAAAUGGUUUUUUGUACUGGUCAUACCCCUUGAAGAAGACUGCUCUUAUAGCAACUAAAUGCUGCAGUGUAGGGAGUUUCAAUUGCAGAGUACAUAUCUUACUGUAUUUUUUUCAGAUGGGCUGUGACCACAGUCUUCUGCUUCAUCUAAGGGAAAGUAUUAUUUUGGUUUGAAAGUAGUGGAAGAAUCUCUAUUAAUUUUCAAGUGCAAAUGAUAAAAUACAAACAAUUUAUUUCCCUUUACUCAUGUGGUAUAACAAGGUCUGAUUUAAAAUCUUUAGCAGAAAUCUAUUGCCAAAUUUUCAGGAUGAGCAACAGCAGAAAAAAUCAGUAUGCUAAAAACCAAAACAUUUCUUGUUGACUUAAGAAGCUCGUUAAAGUCUCAUUUGGGCCUGGUCUGUCGUUUGGUAUAAUCUGCGCAGUUAAGGCAUAAAAUGAUAUAAAUAUGGACUGGAGCCCAACCUCUGCACUUUCAAGAGCCAGUCCUACUUCAUUGGCUUCAAAGAAACCUAAAGAAUGAAACUGGAAUAGAGUGCCCUACAGGCUAGGCAAAUACAUGGAAAAUUUGUGCAACAUUCCAGGUUCAGUGAAGGAAAGCCAGCAGCAAGAAGAAGGUGUUCACCCAUUACCAUGAGGGAAAUGAAUGGUAUAUACCAGGCAAACAAUUUCACCUCCCUCACCUCAAAGAGAAAAUAGCCACAGGAGGUGCAUCCUUGGUGUAAGCACAUCUUCCCAGAUGAGAGGACUGGAAUAAUGAGCAGCUCUACUAAAAUCCCUGCAGGUGUGUGAAACAGCAUGUGAACUCUUCCCAAGAAAGUCAAGUUCAUGUUGGUGGAAAGGGAAUUUAAGUGGAAUCCCUGAUAAAAACCUACUGGACCUACAUCCCACAUAAGGCCUGCUGACUGGGUGGAACCGAAAGGUGAAGAAGCACACAUACAUAAUCCAUCAGUUGGUUUGACGUGUGUGGGGU